GACGAACGCUGGCGGCGUGCCUAAUACAUGCAAGUAGAACGCACAGUUUAUACCGUAGCUUGCUACACCAUAGACUGUGAGUUGCGAACGGGUGAGUAACGCGUAGGUAACCUGCCUGGUAGCGGGGGAUAACUAUUGGAAACGAUAGCUAAUACCGCAUAAUAUUAAUUAUUGCAUGAUAAUUAAUUGAAAGGUGCAAUUGCACCACUACCAGAUGGACCUGCGUUGUAUUAGCUAGUAGGUGAGGUAACGGCUCACCUAGGCGACGAUACAUAGCCGACCUGAGAGGGUGAUCGGCCACACUGGGACUGAGACACGGCCCAGACUCCUACGGGAGGCAGCAGGAGGGAAUCUUCGGCAAUGGACGAAAGUCUGACCGAGCAACGCCGCGGGAGUGAAGAAGGGUGUCGGAUCGUAAAGCUCUGUUGUAAGAGAAGAACGGGUGUGAGAGUGGAAAGUUCACACUGUGACGGUAUCUUACCAGAAAGGGACGGCUAACUACGUG
rnacentral:rRNA from 1 species